rnacentral:rRNA from 1 species
AUUGAACGCUAACGGCGUGCUUAACACAUGCAAGUCGAGCGGCAGCAUGACUGUAGCAAUACAGUUGAUGGCGAGCGGCGGACGGGUGAGUAAUGCAUAGGAAUCUGCCUUGUAGUGGGGGAUAACCCGGGGAAACUCGGGCUAAUACCGCAUAAUCUCUACGGAGCAAAGUGGGGGACCAUCGGGCCCUACGCUAAAAGAUUAGCCGAUGUUGGAUUAGCUAGUUGGUAGGGUAAAGGCCUACCAAGGCAACGAUCCAUAGCUGGUCUGAGAGGAUGAUCAGCCACACUGGGACUGAGACACGGCCCAGACUCCUACGGGAGGCAGCAGUGGGGAAUAUUGGACAAUGGGCGAAAGCCUGAUCCAGCAACGCCGUGUGUGUGAAGAAGGCCUUCGGGUUGUAAAGCACUUUUAGUGGGGAAGAAAAGUUCAUGGCUAAUAUCCAUGAAUGCUGACGUUACCCACAGAAAAAGCACUGGCUAACUCUGUGCCAGCCGCCGCCGUAA